GGUUUUAACCUAGUAUCACAAGGUACUAAGGAAUUCUGACCUACACCAAGGUGUUGCGUCAAAAACCUCAGUUUUUGGAUUGCCUUCCUAGGGUAUCCGGGAGGGCAGA
rnacentral:sRNA from 1 species